GGAGAGGUGGGUGAGUGGCUGAAACCACCAGUUUGCUAAACUGACGUACUCGAUUAGGGUACCACGAGUUCGAAUCUCGUCCUCUCCG
rnacentral:tRNA from 1 species